rnacentral:rRNA from 1 species
UACGAAGGGGGGCUAGCGUUGCUCGGAAUUACUGGGCGUAAAGGGCGCGUAGGCGGAUAUCUAAGUUGGGGGUGAAAUCCCGGGGCUCAACCUCGGAAUUGCCUUCAAGACUGGAUAUCUUGAGUUCGGGAGAGGUGAGUGGAAUGCCGAGUGUAGAGGUGAAAUUCGUAGAUAUUCGGCGGAACACCAGUGGCGAAGGCGACUCACUGGCCCGAUACUGACGCUGAGGCGCGAAAGCGUGGGGAGCAAACAGG